GACGAACGCUGGCGGCGUGCUUAACACAUGCAAGUCGAACGGAAAGGCCCUGCUUUUGUGGGGUGCUCGAGUGGCGAACGGGUGAGUAACACGUGAGUAACCUGCCCUUGACUUUGGGAUAACUUCAGGAAACUGGGGCUAAUACCGGAUAGGAGCUCCUGCUGCAUGGUGGGGGUUGGAAAGUUUCGGCGGUUGGGGAUGGACUCGCGGCUUAUCAGCUUGUUGGUGGGGUAGUGGCUUACCAAGGCUUUGACGGGUAGCCGGCCUGAGAGGGUGACCGGGGGGAGGGGGACUUAGAGAGGGGCGGGAGUGCGACGGGGGGCAGGCGUGGGGGAUGGGGCGCGUGGGGGGGGAGCCGUAUGCCGGAGUGGCGCGUGAGGGAGGGCGGGCGGCGGUGGGGAGACAGGUGUCGACGGCGACGAAGGGGGAGUGAGGGUCGGUGGGAAAGAGGCCACGGCUAACUACGGC
rnacentral:rRNA from 1 species